rnacentral:rRNA from 1 species
GAUGAACGCUGGCGGCGUGCCUAAUACAUGCAAGUCGAGCGAACGGACGAGAAGCUUGCUUCUCUGAUGUUAGCGGCGGACGGGUGAGUAACACGUGGAUAACCUACCUAUAAGACUGGGAUAACUUCGGGAAACCGUAGCUAAUACCGGAUAAUAUUUUGAACCGCAUGGUUCAAAAGUGAAAGACGGUCUUGCUGUCACUUAUAGAUGGAUCCGCGCUGCAUUAGCUAGUUGGUAAGGUAACGGCUUACCAAGGCAACGAUGCAUAGCCGACCUGAGAGGGUGAUCGGCCACACUGGAACUGAGACACGGUCCAGACUCCUACGGGAGGCAGCAGUAGGGAAUCUUCCGCAAUGGGCGAAAGCCUGACGGAGCAACGCCGCGUGAGUGAUGAAGGUCUUCGGAUCGUAAAACUCUGUUAUUAGGGAAGAACAUAUGUGUAAGUAACUGUGCACAUCUUGACGGUACCUAAUCAGAAAGCCACGGCUAAAUACGUG